rnacentral:rRNA from 1 species
UACGUAGGGUGCAAGCGUUGUCCGGAAUUAUUGGGCGUAAAGAGCUCGUAGGCGGUCUGUCGCGUCGGCUGUGAAAACCCGAGGCUCAACCUCGGGCCUGCAGUCGAUACGGGCAAACUAGAGUACUGCAGGGGAGACUGGAAUUCCUGGUGUAGCGGUGAAAUGCGCAGAUAUCAGGAGGAACACCGGUGGCGAAGGCGGGUCUCUGGGCAGUAACUGACGCUGGAGGAGCGGAAAUGCGUGGGGAGCGAACAGG